rnacentral:rRNA from 1 species
CCUACGGGUGUCAGCAGUGAGGAAUAUUGGUCAAUGGGCGGAAGCCUGAACCAGCCAAGUAGCGUGCAGGAUGACUGCCCUACGGGUUGUAAACUGCUUUUAUCCGGGAAUAACACGCCUUACGUUUGGGGCUUUGCAUGUACUGUAUGAAUAAGGACCGGCUAAUUCCGUGCCAGCAGCCGCGGUAAUACGGAGGGUCCGGGCGUUAUCCGGAUUUAUUGGGUUUAAAGGGAGCGUAGACGGCUUGUCAAGCGUGCUGUGAAAUGUCCGGGCUCACCCGGGACAUUGCAGCGCGAACUGGCGUGCGUGAGUCCGCGGAAAGCAGGCGGAAUUCGUCGUGUAGCGGUGAAAUGCUUAGAUAUGACGAAGAACCCCGAUUGCGAAGGCAGCUUGCUGCAGCGGAACUGACGCUGAUGCUCGAAAGCGCGGGUAUCGAACAGGAUUAGAUACCCUGGUAGUC